GUGGGCCCCUGGAUCUGCAUGCAGGAUGACAGGAGGCUGCCGCUGCCGUCUGGGACCUCCUGUCAUCCCGCAUGCAGAUCUGGGGACCUGC
rnacentral:pre_miRNA from 1 species